UACGUAGGUGACGAGCGUUGUCCGGAUUUACUGGGCGUAAAGAGCGCGCAGGCGGUCGUUCAAGUCGAGUGUGAAAGCCCCCGGCUCAACUGGGGAGGGUCACUCGAUACUGAUCGACUCGAAGGCAGGAGAGGGAAGUGGAAUUCCCGGUGUAGUGGUGAAAUGCGUAGAUAUCGGGAGGAACACCAGUGGCGAAGGCGGGUCUCUGGACAGUUCCUGACACUGAGGCACGAAGGCCAGGGGAGCAAACGGG
rnacentral:rRNA from 1 species